ensembl:lncRNA
AAAUUGGGGGGAAUAAAUAAAAAAUGAAAUGUGACCUGUGGCGUACUUAUAUUUAUAUGGCUUUUUCCAGUACGUUAAACAUAUUUUCAUCACCAAAACCUGUAAUUUGACUGGAGAUUUUCAAACAUUUGCAGACAACUUUGAUAGACAGACAGACAUAAAAAGAAAUUGAGUUACAGCAGCUAUGUGAGGGCUUUUAAGGGGUGUAUAUUGUAAGCCUGUUUAGUCAAAGGCUUGUGUGUUUGUGGCACCUCACCACUGUUCUCAAGUUCAGUAUGCAAGCUUUUUAUAAUAUAUCUGGCUUCAGAAGGUCAAGGCAACCCUAAAGCUUUUGUAUUGGUCUGUUUUGGUCAGGUCCUAAUAAAACUGCGAGGAGUCUGCUGAGUCACUGAUGUUCUGGUUUGGUGACCCUGCACCGAGGACACUGCAACUUUGCAACAUUCCACAUACAGCAUUAAACUCUUCGCACAUCUGGUUACUAGCAAUACCUCUGAAAACAACUGACUUGGUAAGUUUAGCAUUGAACCACUCUAAAUGACUUUGUUUAUAUAAUACCUAUUUAAGUAUUUCCCCUUUAAGACAGUAUUUUGAGAAAGUCAUUAUUUUGAGACAAUUGUUUAAAAAUUCAACAAAUUGCUAGAGAGAAAAAAAAAAACUGUUGAUUUCUUGAAUUUGCACAGUGCUAAGUGGUGGGGUUUACGCUUCCAUUACUUGUUGGUUACUUAGCCUCAAAGCUCAAAUGUAAAACUAAAGACGCAAACUCUUCAGACAACCAAACAACAAGCAUGUCUUAGCUAAUUGACUACAUUUAGGCUAAAAGGAAAACUGGAAUUAGACUGUCAAUGAUAUUCCUUCAGUGACCUCUAUGAAUAUCACUGUGCGUGAGAAACACUUCAAGUGUACAAGAUCCCUGAGUUAUCUCUCUGAUAGUUAACUUAGUGCCAUGUACACGUACAGCUGUGGGAAACACUUGUAUGGUGUCAGGAUAAAUUGCAUCCAGGAUGACACGGCCUUAUAUCUGGAGGUCACAAAUGGUCACUCAGUUUUGUAAACUGUAACUGAUCACCUUUGAAGAUCAUCAAAUCUUUGCCAACAAAAGCUAAAUAGGAGCCACACAGUGUUUCCAGUGUUUUCCAAAUGAUUAAGUACAAUCUGGAAAGUGAAGAGAAUCAAGAAUGAUGUCUAGUAACUGUCCAGCACAUCUUAUUAUUUAAUCAAGUUGUUAUCUUGACCUCCAUUGUCUAUGGCUGGUCUUUCUGUAGUUUGCAGUGCUUACCAAGCAGAAAGAUGUCUAUUAUUCAUCUAAACAUAUUGAAGUGAUACCAAAUCUACAGUAUGAAUCUUGAAGUCUUCAUUAAUGACAAAGGGAGCUUUAGUGUAAUUCUAAGUAAGUUCCUCACUUCUUGCUCAAAGUGACCAGUAGAGGGCAGUAGAGGCAAUAAAAUCAGACUGGUCUAAAGCAUCUGGUCAGUACAACCAACCCUGUGGAAUCAUGCUCUGUAUUUGUAAAUGUGAUCAUUUUUAGUCACCCAAGCACAUUGUUUUAAGUUUAUUGUAUUAGUGAUUGUAACGUGUAAAAACACCGUAUAUUAUUAGAAUAGAUGCAAAUAAACCUAGGUACGGGUGUGUGAGCUUGGUUCCAGAUGUCUCCAGAACACCCCCGGCCAUUACAUGGAUUUUUUUGUUCUUAAAUUCCAUUAGUAGCACUCCUGAUUUAACAUAAUGAAGUACUGAUUAGGCAAAGCAAGUGUUGGAUGAUAACCACAAAUAAUAUUAAACCGCCACACAGAGCUUUCAGAAUGGUUACUCAAAUAAACACUUACAGCCCAGAUUAAUUACUUUUUUCAAAUUUUCUCAGGUGCCUACAAUGUUUAUACAGUACAGUAUUUAUUCUUAAUACAUAUAAGAUAUGUUAUCAUUGCAUACAGAUACUCACGUAUGUAUAAUACUUAGGGGACGUGUAUGACCUCAUGUUCUGACAUUGUAUGAAAACAAACACACACAUGUGUAUAGGCACUGUGGCCUGGUGCCAGCCUUUGACAGUAUAAUUGUGUGUGUUCUGCUGGUCUCAGCACCCCUGUUCCUCCAGGGAACUGACUUAAGCUGGGUUAUAUUAUCCACUCUUUCUAUUGGCCUUGACGGAGGAGCGAAUGUGCUCAGAUCCCCCUGUUAAACACACACACACACACACACACACACACACACACACACAUUCACAACCUGGAUGACGUCCAGCUGUGGGGGUGUAAACAGGAACUCAAUGCAGAAAGGAAAUCUGACACCGUAAAGCAUCAUUAGCACUUUAAUUUACACUCUCCCUUACAAUCACAGUCUGACAUGGAUGAGAUAGAUAGAUAGAUAGAUAGAUAGAUAGAUAGAUAGAUAGAUAGACAGACAGACAAUGAAAUAUAGGGAGGGUGAGAUGCAUAUCACUCACAACUGUUAGCCUAAUAGUCUGUAUAUUGCUGUUGUCAAAAGAAAACCUCGUAUCUCCAUUUUUGUCGUUUUUCAGUUUUUUGCACAAUUUGAAAAUGUCUUUUGCACUUUACAUU